CUCUUGACAGCACCCACCCUCCUGCCCCAGGAUCAUCGACGGUGUGACGUACCCAGGGAACAUCAAGCAGAAGGAUGCAGCCCAGAAGCAGUACAGUGCGGCCGUGGCCAGGGGGGAGAGCGCUGGCCUGGUCAAGGCCACUGGGAGAAAGAUGGAGCAGUUCCAGGUGUCGGUGAGUGUGGCCCCCGCUGCCAAGGUCACCUUCGAGCUGGUGUACGAGGAGUUGCUCAAGCGGCGCCUGGGAGUGUAUGAGCUGCUGCUGAAAGUGCAGCCCCAGCAGCUGG